AUCCUCUCAGGAUGAAACCUGGAGAGUUUCCAGUAUUCUACCAGUCUUGGCUAUAGGAGGGAGAGUCAAGCAGAGGCAUACCCAUUCUAUUCCUAGUUUGAGCAGUGGCUAGAGAGUGGAAGCCAUUCUGCUACAAGU